rnacentral:lncRNA from 1 species
UUUUUGUUUUUGUUUUUGUUUUUUUUUGCUUUUACUGGAGGGUGGGUCACAUCAGAAAACUGCUCAGCAGAUGCAGACAACAAAAACUUUCUGGCCAGAAGACUGGAAAGAAAACCACUGAAAACUGAAGAGUGCAGGGGACGUCCCUGUUUUUCACCUUCCCCUUUUCCCUCUCCCUGACCUGACCUGAGGCCAGUCAUGCAUCUCUGUGUCAUGGCAUGCAUGUGGUGAAGGGUGUAGAGGGGUCUCCCAUUAUUUUUCCCUCCACUUUUCUCUCACUCUCGCACUGAGAGUGGGCCCAGUUGUAUGGAACUGGGAGUUUCAUUAGCACAGAGGUGAAAACUCUUAACGAACCCCAUCUCUCCAGCCAGAAGAACCAGGAAAAGAGAUCACUGGAAGUUAGACAGUGUGGAGGAAAUCUCAGAGAGGAGAGAUUUUGAGAAUGAACCUAAUUCUGUGAAUGAACUGACACAAGUCCCAGGCUCACCUCCAAGCUGUACAUGGAGGAAUACACACACACUCACACACACACACUCACACACACACACACGAGCAUGGCAAAGGCUUUAUGAACUGAACUAGUAUUGGAACUACUGCUCAAAGAGAGAAUUUAUAAUCUAAACCUAUGUGGGUUUUUGCCUGCUGAAACAAAUAAAAUGGAUAUUCUCCAGAGAAUUUUAACAGGACUCAGAGACUCACAACAUAAUAUUUAAAAUGUUCAGGAUACAAUCCAAAAUUACUUGAUAUAUAAAUAACCUUGAAAAUGGGAUCAAUUCUCAAGAGAAUAAACAAUCGACUAAUGCCAAACCCAAUGUAUUAGUCAGGAUUCUCUAGAGGGACAGAGCUAAUGGAAUAGAUUUAUACAUAAAGAGGAGUUUAUUAAGUAUUAACUCACACCGUCACAAGGUCCCACAAUAGGCCAUCUGCAGGCUGAGGAGCAAGGAGAGCCAGUCAGACUUCCAAAACUGAAGACCUUGGAGUCCGAUGUUCGAGAGCAGGAAGCAUCCAGCACAGGAGAGGAUGUAGGCGGGGAGGCUAGGCAAGUCUUUUCACACUUUUCUGCCUGCUUAUAGUGUAGCCUUGCUGGCAGCUGAUUAGAUUCUGCCCAUGAAGACUAAGAGUGGGUCUGCCUUUCCCAGUCCACUGACUCAGAUAUUAAUCUCCUUUGGCAACACCCUCAUAGACACACCCAGGAUCAAUACUUUGUAUCUGUCAAUCCAAUCAA